rnacentral:lncRNA from 1 species
UAUAUUUAUAGAUAAAUUUCUGCCUCUAUUUUUCCUUUUGUAGAUCAAUAUGGUCUUAGUUUCCAUAGAUUUACAGUAGAUCUUGAUAGCAGGUGAAGCAAGUUCCCAUGCAUUCUUUUUUAAAAUUCCGUAACUCUUAUACAGCAGAAAUUAUCACCACCUUGUAAAUCAACCACACGUCAAUGAAACUUUAAAAAAUGAAAAAAAAAACCUCUAUAACUCUUGGCCCCUUGCUGUUCCAUAUGAAUUGUAGGAUCAGCUUAUCAAGUUUUAUGAAAAACUUGAUUUUUAAUGGAAUUGUUCUGAAUGUGUGCACGAAUUUGAGAAUUGAUAUUUAACAUUAUUGAGUCUUUCCAUCCAUGAGACUAGUAUAUUUCUUAUUCAUUUGUUGUUCCUUUGAUUAUAAUUUAUAAUAUUCUCCAUACAUACACUGAACAUUUAUGGUUAGAUAUACUCCUAGGUACCUUAUGAAUUUUGUUACUAUUGUGAGAUAAAUUUUUCUUAUUAUAUUUUCUUUUUCUUUUUUCUUUUUCUUUUUUUUUGUCUUUUUGCCUUUUCUUGGGCUGCUCCCAGGGCAUAUGGAGGUUCCCAGGCUAGGGGUCAAAUUGGAGCUGUAGCCCCCCGCCUACACCAGAGUCACAGCAACGAGGGAUCCGAGCCGCGUCUGCGACCUACACCACAGCUCACGGCAACGCCGGAUCCUCUUAUUAUAUUUUCUUUUGGGAAAUUAUUGAUACUGUGUAGCACUAGGUUAUUUUCACAUUUAACUAGUUUGCUGAACUCUCUCAUUAUUUCUACUAGUUAUUAGUUUGACAUUUUGGUCAUUAUACCAAUAAUAUAUAAGAACACUAUUGAUUUUUGUAUGUUCUUAUAUGCAUCUUGCCGAAUUCUAUCAUUAGUACCACUAGAUUAUUUUUAAUUUAACUUCUAUUUUUAAUUUAACUUCUAUUGCUUUUUCUUAUCUUCUUGAGGUUAAUAUAUAUCAUAUUCUUUUUAUCCUUUCUAUUUAGAGGUUUGUAUAAUAUUAUAAAAUAAACCAAAUAUUUUAACUGCAUUGGACUUCGAGAAAAUUAUUUACAUCUCAAAAACAUAUACAUAUAUAUGUACAUAUAUAUAAAUGUCUCAAAUAUUUUUAUUCCCUUUUAUUUCCUAUUUUCCACUGUAAUUUAACACGUGAGUUAUUUAACAGGACAUUUAUUUAUUCAUUAUGAUCUUUUAUAAUUGGUGCAAAUUACAUUAGACUAUUGUCAUAGAAAAUGGCUGGCUGCCAAUUAUUUGAAAUGUGAUAACACUUUGUGAUCUACUACAUCGUCAAAGUAAUUAUUAUUCUACGUAACAUUUUGGGGGGUGUAGAGUUAUUUAUAUGCUUAUUGGGUCAUGCUUCAUAAGUUUGUUGUUCCAAACCAUAUUCUAACUAAUAUCCAGUCUGCUUUGACCCUCACUAUUUGAGAUCUCUUCUAAUAUUAUCAAAGUAUCCAUUUAUUCUUGUAAUUGUCCCAGUUUUGCUUUAAAGACUUAAGACGCCUGGUUCUUAGUUGCAAAUAAGCUCAUCGUUACUACCAUUUCUUAGUGGAUUUUCAUUAAUUAUUAUACAUGAUAUCCUUAUUAAUAUUUUGCCUUAAAUUACAUGCCAUCAGGUAAUAAUACUGCUGUACUAGCUUUCUUAUGGUUGAUAUUCACAUAACACAGAUUUUCCCAUAACUUUAUCAUAUCUUCUUGCCAGGAAUUUAUAGCUAUAUAGUAAAAAAACAAAACACAAAAAAACAAAACAAAACAAAAAACCUCAACUUGGAAUCUGUCUUUUAAUAGAGGAAUUUGAGUCAAUUAUGGUAUUUUGAUUAGCUAAUACAUUUGGACUUAUUUUUACCAUGUUAUUUUGAAUUUCUAUUUUAUAUUUUUCUUUGUUCUCUAUUCUGAAUUCUUCAUAAAUUUCUUGAAUUAUCCUUCCAAUUCAUUAAUUCUCCCUUCUACUUUGCUAAUAUGGGGUUAUUUCUCAAGUUUCAAUAACCAUGAUCUUUAUUUAAGUGUACAGAAUUUGUUCUUUUUCAUACCUAGCCAUUUUUUAUUUUUUCUUCUUUAAAAAAAUUAUGAACAUCUAAAGCUAAUACAAUACUGUAAAUAAACUAUACUUCAAUUUUUAAAAAAUUCCUUGCCAUUUUAAAAAAAUGGUAUCAUCCAUUUAUCAGUUGAAAUAUCUUAUAUAUAGACAUUUAAAAUCUUUUAUUUAUUGAUUUAUUUUUUGGUCUUUUUAGGGCUGCACCCACAGCAUAUGGAAGUUCGCAGGCUAGGGGUUGAAUCAGAGCUAUAGCUGCUGCCCUGUGCCACAGCCACAGCAAUGCCAGAUCUGAGCCCAUCUCCAACCUACACCACAGCUUGUAGCAAUGCCAGAUCCUUAACCCACUGAGCAAGGCCAGGGAUUGAAGUUGUGUUCCUAUGGAUACUAGUCAAGUUCAUCACCACUGAGCCACAAUGGGAACUCUGACAUUUAAAUCUUCAUCUGGCUUUUUGACCCUCACAUCCGAACCUAAUAACAUCUCCAGAAUUGGGGGCUUCUGUACUGUAGGGAUAAAUAGAAAUAUUGAUGAUUCGGUCAAUUGCUAAGUUGGUUGUUUUGUUCAGUUCUUAGCAGCGAGGAUAUGUCUGUAUUCUCCUUAGGCCUAGAGCUUGUUAAAUUUACAUUUUAGGCUUUAGUCUGCAUUUGUUCAUGAACAAUCCAUUGCUUCAAACUGUGAACAUGCCUUGAGUCACAUUAUCAAAUGUUGUUUUUAGUUAUUCCAAUUUUAUUUGUGUCAUGUCUUAGGAAAUGGCAGGAGUGGGACUUAGGAGGGAGAAAAAUUCAGCCCUGCAUAUUAGCUAAAAAGCAUGUUAAAGGGAGAAGGAAGAUACUAUAUGUGUUUUAGUGUUGUGUAUUUAAGAUUACUUAUAGCCCAGUUUACUCCAAAGAAAGGCUUUGUUUAGAAGGCUUAAUUGAUUAAUGCCAAUUUUAACAGCUGUUAAGAGAUAGUGGUUGAGUGUGUUGUCUGUCAUUCUCUUUGAUGGGGACUAAGAGUAUCCUAAAAUUAGUAAGAAUUUAGAAUUAGACCAGAGAUUAUGUGUGAAAUUAACUUCUCAAAUAUUUAUGAUGUAUCCAUAAAUCAUACCACUACAUACUCUUUUAUGGAUUUCAAAAUAUGUAGAGCUUAUAUUUGAAAAUCAUUGUGUUUGAAAGAGAAGGAAAUUAUCUAUUACUAAAGGGUCUUACACAUUUGAUAAAAUACCUGUUUCAUUGUGAACCAAGGAUUUCCCAGGGCUUGAAAAGUGUAUGUCCAGAUGACUGGUAGAAUCAAAUCCCCUUUGUCAUGAAAUCCUGGUACAUGAAUUUGAAGUAAUUGACAUUAUUUUCUCAUAUUUCUCAAACGUGUAGCAGGGAAAUUGAAAGCGGCCUGUGCAAAAGAAACCUGAAAGGAAACUCAGCUUUUGAAUUUUUAGGCUCUAUCUUUUCCACUUUCAUUUUACAUCCCACUCUCCCCUUUUUUCUUUCUUUCUUUGCCACUAUGAGUAGUUUACAUGUCAAGAUGAUCUCAGACAUUAUAUAUAUAUAUAUUUAUACACACACACACACACACACACAUAUAUAUAUACAAACAUACAUACAUACACACAAUAUCAUGAAAUUUAGGACUGGGUCAAGGCAGAUUAGCAUUUUCUAUGGGCCCACUAAAGUAUGGUCUUACUAAAAUAUGACAUAAUUCCUAAUAUUAAAUAACUAGAGAAAAGAGGUAAAAGAUCAUUUCAGUGCUAAAAACCAUAUUAGUCAAUGACUGACUUAGACUACUGAUAUGUUUUAGUUUCAAAAGGCAUGACCAAUUUCAGAAACAUCAAAAUACCUCACUGCAACCUCACUGCUGGUUAUUUGUUUCACUCUCUGGAACCACAUCAUCACGGAGUAUGGCUGACCUAACAAGCUAUCAAGUUCUGACAAUUGUAAAAUCCUUUUCAUCUUGUUCAGGGAAAAUGCCUGGUAUAUAUUUACUUUUCAUUAUAGGAAAAUAUAUCUUUAUGGAUUACCUCAUCAAAAGAAAAUUGAGUAUGGUUCCUCAGAUACCAAAAUAAUUCCUGUAUAGGAAAAGGUUGAAUUAAAUUGGGAUUUUAUUAGCACAUUGAGUAAACACUUCAUCUUUGAUAUGUUAACACUACCUGGGGAUUUCAGAGAUGUUUUUCCUUCCAAUUUAUAAAUUAGAAUUCUGCUGUAGUUAUGACUAAGAAUUAUGUUUUGUAUAUUUCCUCACAGGUCUUUCGAAGUAUCCUACUUACCACAGUAAUAGUUUCGAAAAUAAUUUAGACAAGUGAGUAGAGAGAUUGAAUUCAAAACACAAAAGUUUAGACAACCAUUUUUUUAUCAUGAGAAAAAGUUAACUCUAUAUCUACUUCUCACAUUAUUGCAACUAUAGCUGAACAUAACUAUUUCCUAAAGUAACAGAUGUUAGAGUUAGCUGCUGUAUAAAAUUACAAGUAUACAACUCUGUGAAAAUAAUAAUCUUAGUGGCAUUGGGAAUGAUUCACAGAGGAUCUGGCUCAUGGGUAGGUGCUUAAAGCAUGAAUUGGAUUUUGACAGGAAGUGAGAAAGUAAGAAGUGUUUUACCCAAGAGGGUUGAAUUAAUCUAACUCAACAAAUACAUAGAACAAACCAUAAUAAAUAGAGCUAACGCCUAAUCAGCACUGCUAUGUGUUUGGCACCACUCUAAAUAUUUAACAUGAAUUAUCUAAUUUAAUCUAUUUAAAAACCUAUGAGUUAGACACUAUUAAUAUUUUCAUUUUAUAGAUAAGGCCCUGAGGCACAUAAAGAUCACUCAGCUAUAUUAAGUGGUAGAAUCAGGAUUCAUUGCAGAGUAGCUGAAUCCAGAGCCCACAUUGCUAAAAACAAAGAUCCUGGAGUCAAUUGCCUGGUUUCAAAUUCUGACUUCAUCUACACCACUUAGGUUAGUGCCUGCCACCACUUGGUAAGUGCCUAAGAAGUGUUAACUAAUUUAAUUAUGUUUAUUGUUAUUACUAAUGAACUGCUCUGUCAAUGCUUCUUCUAUGUGUAAGCUAUUCAAUGUAUUGCAGAUGAUGCAAAUAUACUAAAUUGAAGGUCUCAGUUCUCAAAGAAUUUUCAGCUUUGGGGGAGCAAUAGAUAUAUACCCCAGAGUUAUAAUAGGCUAAGUAUGGGGGAAAUUAAUUUCAAUGGAAGAAAUUAAUGAAAACCCCAGAGGUGAUUUUUGACCAGAACAUAGGAUGGAUAUGCUUGCAGUUGAAGACUUAAGAGAGAAGGCUUACAGGGUGAAAGGACCAUGUGCACAAAGGCAUGAUGUUUUAGAAAUGUUCAGAAUGUGUUUGGAGAGUAGAUUGGCUUAUAUUUACUUGGCAUAAAGGAAGGAAGAGCAGGGAGAGGAAAGGCAGGAAAGCAGUCUAAGUUUGUAUUUCACAGAGCCUUGAAGAUGUCUUUAAACAAAUCAGUGACAGUUCAAAGGCACUUUUGGAACACAUUUUAGUAAUAGGCACAGAGUGGAAGAAGGGAGGGCAGGGUUAUUACUAGAGACAUAAAAAAACAGUUCAGCCCUGCUGCCAUCGUUUCAUUCCACCUUCAUAUUCUAACAGGGCAGUCUGUCAUUAAUUUUGUGUGUGUACUGGCUAAGUUGCUUACUAUUUCGAUCCUCUAUUUCCUCACCUACAGAAUAAGGGAGCUGAAUUGAUAGGUAUGUGAUCAUCAGAUUCUACAAGUCAUGGACUUUCUGUGCCUGACUUUGUAUCUAAAUACCUCACAUGUAAUUUUUGUUCAUGGUGGCAGCUUAUAGAUAUGAAUAUCUUCUCUUAGUAAAUUCUUAUUUUUAUUUACUAUUUCAAUACAUUUAGUACAUAAUACUAUAUUAUUAUUAUUUUUAUAUGAUUUGCAUUUCUUCUUAACUAAGUUCACUGAGAGAACUUUUAUACAUGAAAAAUAGAUUAGUUUAUAUUGAUUAGUAUACAUUGUAGUCUCAUAUAAUUUUUACUUAUUUAAUGAAUCAAUAGCAAUAUGAAAUUCUAUACUUUGAUUGUGAUCCUUUACGAGAGAGUUGAAACAUUUGCCAAAUCCAGCUUUUAGAACAAAUUUUAUAAGUAAAAUUAAAAGGAUGAUUUAUUUUACCAUCACUGCUUAUGUAUAUUAAAAAAUUGAUAUUAAUUU